GGAGAGAUGGCUGAGCGGUUGAAGGCGGCAGUCUUGAAAACUGUUGAGGAUGCAAGUCCUCCGUGGGUUCGAAUCCCACUCUCUCCGCCA
rnacentral:tRNA from 1 species